GUAGCUGGAAACCAGUGAGAGAGCCUUUUCAGCUAUGAUGUCCCAAUUAUGAAGUGCUCCCUUUUCUCCUGCCUGCAGAGUUCUACAAUGGCAACACUGAGAUUAAGGAGGAAUAAGCUGACCAAGACUACCCCCCUGGACUGGAGGAAGGCAGAUACAAAGUUUGCCAUGAGAAAAAGAGAGGCAGCCAAGGUCAGGGAUUGGGGUACCUGUCGCUUUCUGGAUGCUGG